rnacentral:rRNA from 1 species
CACGUAGGGGGCAAGCGUUGUCCGGAAUUAUUGGGCGUAAAGAGCUCGUAGGCGGCUCGGUAAGUCGGGUGUCAAAUCCUCAGGCUCAACCUGGGGCUCCACCCGAUACUGCUGUGGCUAGAGUCCGGUAGGGGAGCGUGGAAUUCCUGGUGUAGCGGUGAAAUGCGCAGAUAUCAGGAGGAACACCAGCGGCGAAGGCGGCGCUCUGGGCCGGAACUGACGCUGAGGAGCGAAAGCGUGGGUAGCAAACAGG